rnacentral:misc_RNA from 1 species
GAAAUGCGAUAAGUAAUGUGAAUUGCAGAAUUCAGUGAAUCAUCGAAUCUUUGAACACACCUUGCGCUCCUUGGUCUUCCUUGGAGCAUGCCUGUUUGAGUAUCAUGAAAUCUUCAAAGUAAAUCUUUUGUUAACUCAAUUGGUUUCUACUUUGGUAUUGGAGGUCUUUGCAGCUUCACACCUGCUCCUCUUUGUUCAUUAGCUGGAUCUCAGUGUUAUGCUUGGUUCCACUCGGCGUGAUAAGUUAUCUAUCGCUGAGGACACUGUAAAAGGUGGCCAAGGUAAAUGCAGAUGAACCGCUUCUAAUAGUCCAUUGACUUGGACAAUACUUUUAUGAUCUGAUCUCAAAUCAGGUAGGACUACCCGCUGAACUUAAGC